AACGAACGCUGGCGGCAUGCCUAACACAUGCAAGUCGAACGAGACCUUCGGGUCUAGUGGCGCACGGGUGCGUAACGCGUGGGAACCUGCCCUUAGGUUCGGAAUAACUCCCCGAAAGGGGUGCUAAUACCGGAUAAUGUCUUCGGACCAAAGAUUUAUCGCCUUUGGAUGGGCCCGCGUUGGAUUAGCUAGUUGGUAGGGUAAAAGCCUACCAAGGCGACGAUCCAUAGCUGGUCUGAGAGGAUGAUCAGCCACACUGGGACUGAGACACGGCCCAGACUCCUACGGGAGGCAGCAGUGGGGAAUAUUGGACAAUGGGCGAAAGCCUGAUACAGCAAUGCCGCGUGAGUGAGGAAGGCCUUAGGGUUGUAAAGCUCUUUUACCCGGGAUGAUAAUGACAGUACCGGGAGAAUAAGCUCCGGCUAACUCCGUG
rnacentral:rRNA from 1 species